rnacentral:lncRNA from 1 species
UCGGAAUAUGGUGGAAAAAUGACAAAACUUCUCGUUUUUUAAAAUUACAUAAUUAGCAUCUAUUAACAGUACACGUUUUGCUUUCGAACCCUGAUAUAUAUGAUUCCAUUUUCAUUUCAGUGUUCCCUUAGCAAACUAAGAAAACAUUCUUAGUCACAAGAUGGCACAUAGAUCCUGAGUCUAGUAAACAAAUUAUCUUGUACAUAACGUUCAUACAAGGAGUUCUACUGAUAGGCUGAGUCACUCACCCUUAUGUAGGGAGAAGUUUAUUUUUCUCCUUAAAAUCCAAAUGGAAAAAGCUAAGUGAGUUUGUAGAAUUAUGAUUCUCUUGUCAGUGCAUCAGAAAAAGGCUCAUAAUUCAAAUUAUCACUUCAAUCAAUAAUAUUAUUGAUUUAAUAAAUAAAUUUAAAUGAAAAGCGAUACAAAAAAAAAAAAAAAUCAAUUAAAGAUGACUGGACAUAUAAUCCACAACAAAUAGUUAAAUUUCGAGAUUUCACUUCAUUUCCUUCCACUACACAAGAGAUCCUAGGUUUGAUUGACAUUAUAAUAAUGUUAAAACUAAUAUCAUGAUUUAUAUUUAUUAUACAAGGUAUAACUUUUGACUUAUUAAUGGAUAGAGCUAUAUAAAUUCAAAUGGUGUUGAAGCCUCCAUCAUUUCUCAAUAAAAGUAACACUGUAUCAUGACUUUCAUAAAAUGAAUGUUUUUAACUUUCCCCACAGCUAAAAGCUCCUCUCAUGCAAGGACUUCGUGUUACUUUUAUUCACUUUGGCCUUCGAGUACGAGAAUGGGAUGGAUGUUCCUUAAUCCAAAUGGAAUAUGAAUGUGAAUAAGACAGAUCCCCUAUAAGUGAAUAAAUAAUUACAAUAAAGUUACUUAUAAGUAGAGAUGCAAUUUGUGUAAGAGCGCAAGGAUAAGGCGUGAGCGAGACAUAAGAAAAUACAGAAUUAAGACUAUUUUCUAUUAGCUGGCUUUUGGGCCAGAAAAUUUAUUACUGCUAUAAAGAGGGGAACCUUCAUCAUUUACAAUGUUAUUAUUGCAGGGAAAAUAUAAUAAUUAUAUUUAAAUUUUAUUAUGGAUUUUUAAAUCAAUUUAUACCAAAGAUAGGCGAUAAUUAUUCUUUUAGAGGGAGAUGUUAACACACCCAUGACUGAGUAAAUAAUGAACAAAAAAGAAGAAACAGUACAUGCAUCAACCGUUUUUCUUUUUUUAAUUGCUAUAUCCAAGGUAUAUAUAAUGAAGUAUGUUCUUCUGAAAUGUUUUUGGUUUUUGUUAUUGGAAAGAGCACGUGACAUCUGACGUCAUUAGAUUUAAAAUAAUUGAUAACAUUUGAACAAUUUCAAAAUAUAAUUAAUAUUUAUAUUAUCAUCUUUUACUUUAAAAGUCUAGCUUCUACGACUUUCCUAAUAAUUUCAAAAUGAACACACUGAAGAGAAAUCUUUUACCUUGUGCUGCGUCAAUCUGCUACUCCCCUGAUGUGAACUCCGGUGAAGGUUAUUCUUAACAUAGAUUUCCCAAAGCCAAGGACAUUUGAGAAAAAUGGAUCCAAGCUUGUCAUAGACAAGACCCAUUCAAUCCUGAAACUGUCAGAGUUUGUUCUAAAAUUUUGAGGAAGACUGCUUUCAGAGAAAUCUAAAGGCCGAACUCAUGUCUAACUACGGAAGGACUUCUAGUAGCAAGGUUCGGAAAACUUUGAAGUCAAAUGUUUUUCCUACUUUAUAGUUGGUUCCUGAAAGCUCUAUUCGAGCUGCGUAGACAGAGAAAUCAAAUAUUAAAAGGACAAAAAGGCUCUCCUCCAGGAACACAAAAAAAUUUGUCAAUGAACUUCUCACUACUCCAAAGCAAGGAAGUUUGAAAGUUGAUAAGCAUACAUGUAGAAUGCUCUGAUGCUAUGGAAGUAUCAUUUGGAUAUUGAAAGGCUUCUUUGGAUGUCCCCUUGGGGACUAUUGAAGAGCAUGUAAUAUCACAACAAAACAUAAAUGUGUCAGUACAGACAGAUAUGUAUAAUGAACAGCUUCUUCAAUUGAGGGAAGGAAAAGAAAAGACUUCGCAUGAAAUAGACUUGGGAAAAAAAAUUAUUUCUUUUCAAAGAGUCAGUUUGACCAAAAAUGCAUCCAAAAGAAGUGAAUGUAAAGCCUAUAAAUGUAAAUUAAGAACAAUAUAAUCACCAAGUCAAGUCAUUGCUUUAAUGAAUGAGAAUGUUAACGCCAGACCUAAAAAAUGGACGGAGAAAGAUAUUCAGAGGUCUCUCAUUCUGAGAUCAAUGACUGGAGGAAAAGCCUAUAAAUAUCUUCAGAAGAAAUUCCCCCUUCCCUUGCCAGCUUUAUCCACAUUAAGGAAAUGGAUUUCCAAAUUUAAAUGUGGUCCUGGAAUUCAAUACUAACUUUUGGACAUUUUAAAUAAACAAAUGGAUGAGCUCUCUAAAAAUGUAUGUCCAUUUAAGCCGUGUUUGAGUGUUGUCUUUCGAUGAAAUGGACUUGAAACGAAGUUAUGACUAAGCUCGAUCUUUUGAUUAAGUCUUUGCCCCGAACAAGAAGAUUCUUGGAAUAUGCCUGUUUAUUUUGAUUUUGACAAAGCAAUGACUAUUGAAAAUCUAUUCGGUAUUAUUAAAAAAAUAGAAUAAAACGGAACAUCUGUAAAUAGUGGCCAUGGUAUCUGGCAUGGGUCCCUAAAAUGUGGGAUUGGGAAUAUCCGAAGAAUCUCCUUACUGUCGGAAUCCAUUCAACACAUCCAAAAAGUCUUGUAUGAUACAACUCACUUCAUCAAACUAUUGAGGAACAAUCUCUUUGAUAAAGGAUUUAUCUUACCGGACGGAUCUACAAUUACAAAAAAUGAUUUAACGAACUAAAAAUAGCUUAUAAGAUUAAAGAUAUUCAUUUAGAAUGCCAAAAUAGUAAAUGACAACGUGUUUAUCUAGCAACGCAACUAUUGAACCGUACAACUGCCUCUGCGCUGCAAUUCCUAUUUCCUGAAAAGAAGCCUCAAGUGGAUUUUAUCAAAACAGUAGAUUCAUUGUUCGACGUCUUCAAUAAUAGGAAGCCUUUUGACUCCGAAAUAAACUUGUGUGGAUUUGGUAAUCAUAUGAAGGAACAGGAAGAUGCUCUUAAAAAGAUGAAAGAGACAAUUAAAUGUAUCCGGGGAAUUGGCAAAGGAAAGUAAAUUAUUCCUUUCCAGCGUAGAAUUUUUAUUUCCAUUGCCUCUUUGGAAAACUUAUUCAAUGACCUGAAGAAAACAUCUAGAAUCAAAUGUAUAUUUACAUCUAAGUUAAAUCAAGAUAUUGUUGAUUGUAUCAAUAGACUAAGACUAGUUGUUCUUGGCCAAGCCGACCGACUUCAUAUUGGGUCAACCUCAGUUCGAAUAGAAAAGGUAGAAACCUCAUCAAUGGAUAACUUUCUUGGUUGUUUAAUUAAGGAAAUAGAACCGGAAAAUAAAGAAACGGAAAUAGAUUAGGAAGAAUGAAGAUGCUUCACUUUUAGCUGCCGAGUUGGCUAUAAAUCCGUAUCUGGAAUUCGAAGCACCGUCAAAUUCUUCCUCCUCGGCCCAUGACUGUAGACUUCAAGGAUUGGGUUAUAUCACUGGAUAAUUGGCCUAGAAGUUUUCUUCAAAAUAUCCUGAAAUCGGUUUCAAAACUACAGAUGAUCCUUUUUAUAAUUCAGAUAUGACACCGUGGAUAUCAGCAUUAUUCAAAGGAGGACUGACAAAACCUACAAAUUCCUUCCUCACUCAGAUAAAAAAAUUUGACACAAUCUUUGAAGCAUAUCAUUGACAUGAAAUAUAAAGACAACCUAAUGUUAUUGAGACUUUAAUAUCAAUUCUUCAAAGUUCAGCUCCAGAUUUCCACCAAGGUAUUAUUAGAAAGUACGCUCGUCUAAGAACAUUGAUAGAAAUUAAGGCCCUGAAUAUUAGUAUAAAUUAUCAAAAAAGUCAUGAAAUUUGUAGAAAAUUAAAGAAAUUAUCCCAGAAUAUUAAUUUUUUUUUGUUAUAACAAAAACCCUUUAAUUCGUAAAACUCUGUAUGACUCUCUUUGUUAGGAAAUGAUAUUAAUAAAAUUACUUUAAUUUAA